UGGGGGGUGAAGGAGUUCCUGGAGUGAGCUGAAGGUUCUGGAGCCCAGUGGAUAAUCACAGCUCACAUCCAGGAGCUCUCACCUGCCCCA